GAUGAAGAACGUAGCGAAAUGCGAUACUUGGUGUGAAUUGCAGAAUCCCGUGAACCAUCGAGUCUUUGAACGCAAGUUGCGCCCGAAGCCAUUAGGCCGAGGGCACGCCUGCCUGGGUGUCACACACCGUUACCCUCGCGCCAACGUCCAUCGUUGGCCGCGGCGCGGGGCGUGUGCUGACCUCCCGCGAGCGGGGUCUCGUGGUUGGUUGAAAAUCGAGUUCGCGGUCGAGGGUGCCGUGAUGAAAUGGUGGAUGGGCGACGCCCGAGGCCAAUCACGCGCGACUCUGUCCGGCUUGGACUCCUGGACCCCUUCGGCGUCUCCGGACGCUCUUUGGCGAGACCUCAGGUCAGGCGGGGCUACCCGCUGAGUUUAAGCAUAUCAAUAAGCGGAGGA
rnacentral:misc_RNA from 1 species